rnacentral:misc_RNA from 1 species
UACGUAGGGGGCAAGCGUUGUUCGGAAUUAUUGGGCGUAAAGCGCUCGCAGGCGGUCCGUUAAGUCUGAUGUGAAAUCCCGCGGCUCAACCGCGGAAGGUCAUUGGAAACUGGGGGACUUGAGUACAGAAGAGGAGAGUGGAAUUCCACGUGUAGCGGUGAAAUGCGUAGAGAUGUGGAGGAACACCAGUGGCGAAGGCGACUCUCUGGGCUGUAACUGACGCUGAGGAGCGAAAGCGUGGGGAUCAAACAGG